rnacentral:rRNA from 1 species
UACGGAGGGUGCAAGCGUUAUCCGGAUUCACUGGGUUUAAAGGGUGCGUAGGAGGGCAGGUAAGUCAGUGGUGAAAUCUCCGAGCUUAACUUGGAAACUGCCGUUGAUACUAUCUGUCUUGAAUAUUGUGGAGGUGAGCGGAAUAUGUCAUGUAGCGGUGAAAUACUUAGAUAUGACAUAGAACACCAAUUGCGAAGGCAGCUUGCUACACAUAUAUUGACUCUGAGGCACGAAAGCGUGGGGAUCAAACAGG